GCCAGCAUAGUAUAGUGGUCUGAGCAUUGGACUAUGACUCUGGAGAUCUGGGUUUGAUUCCCUGUUCCGUCA